CCGCAUCCACCUCCGCCUCCACCGGAAUCAAUCAAGCGCCGCCGCCUGCAGCCCCUAUCUCCCGGCCCAUAUCCUCCACCCAUCGUGUGCCCCAUCCCGCGCCACCAUCGACGGUGAUGUCGUCUCCUCACGCCGAUACACCUCCUCCCUGCCUCCCACGCCCCCUGCGCCUCCGCCUCCGCCUCCACCUUCAAGCGCCGCCGGCGGCCUCCCUCACAACCGCCGCCCCCACUCUCUCCGACCUAGGUUGCAGAUCGAGCACGCCAUGGCCGCCACACUCGCCAAGCUUCUUCGACCUGAAGCCGGGAUAGCCGGGUUGCCUCUCGCCCGACGACGCGGUUCCUCUCCGCAGAUGUGUUCGUCGCAGCAGGAGGAGAAGGGCCACUGGGACGUCUUCAUGCCCCCCACGACCUCCUCUCCGGGUCUCCAGUCCUGCUGACGGGUUCGUCGGAGGAGGAGAAGAAGGACACCAAGAUCAGCCACACCACCAAGCACUCAAGCACAGGUUUUUUUACUGCAGAUCCAGCACGUCUCCCACCCUCUCCAACCUAGGCUGUAGAUUCAGCACGCCAUCGCCGCCACGCUCGCCAGCCCCCUGGCCGUCAAGGGCUUCUUCCACCUUAAGCGUGCGCAGGGAGAGCAAGGUUGUCUGCUCACCCUACAACGUGGUUCCGCUCCGCGGAUGGGUUCGUCGCAGAACCACCGGGACCUUCCUAGCCCCACGACCUCCUCUCAUGCCGGCCUGCUGAUGGGUUCAUCGUCAGAGGAGAAGAAUGACCGCCGGGAGGUUCUUCUCUUCAUCAACACCAAGAGCGAGCAACCACGAACCAGCACUCAAGCUCAGAUGGAUGUGGAACAUGUGAGAGAGCUUCAAGAUCGCCUUGCUAAGAUGUGCAUCCUUCCGUUACGUAAUGAAAUGAAAGAAAGCAAAGCGUGUGAAGAAGAUCAAAUCCAGGACAUAUCACCGGUUGUUCAAGAUGGACAAACUGAAGGCAUCCUCAGCAGGCUUGGAGGCAGAUCCUGAAGCUGCAAAAGAGUCUGCUAUGAAACUAGAAUUUAUGAUCGUAGAGGAGGCGAAGGACCACCGGGACGUCAGCACCCCCUUCAUCGGAGGACCUCUCCCGGCGGCCUGCUACUCUGCUGAUGGGUUCCUCGUUGGAGGAGAAGGACCACCAGGAUGUCUGCGCUCCCAUCACCGCGACCUCCUCGCCUGGCGGCCUGCUCAUGUGUUCAUCGUCUGAGGAGAAGAAGGAUCUCCUUUUCUUUUCAUCAACACCAAGAGCGAGCAAGCACAACCCCGGGAGCACCCAGUCAAAGGAUCCAGCAGGUCUCCCACCCUCUCUGACCUAGGCUGUAGAUCCAGCACGCCAUUACCGCCACGCUCGCCAGCCCCCUGGUCGUCAAGGGCUUCUUCCACCUGAAGCUCGCGCUGGGAGAGCAAGGUUGCCUGCUAGCCUGACAACGCGGUUCCGCUCUGCUGAUGGGUUCGUCGCAGGGCCACCGGGACCUUCAUAGCCCCCACGACCUCCUCUCCCGGCGGCCUGCUGAUGGGUUCAUUGUCGGAGGAGAAGAAGGACCGCUGGGAGGUUCUUCUCUUCAGCAACACCAAGAGCGAGCAACCAUGACCCAGCACUCAAGCACAGAUGGAUGUGGAAAAUGCGAGAGAGUGUCAAGAUCGUCUUGCUAAAAUGUGCAGCCUUCUGUUUUGUCAUGAAAUGAAAGAAAGCAAAGCGUGUGAAGAACAUCAAAUCCAGGACAUAUCACAGGUUGUUCAAGACAGACAAACUGAAGGCAUCCUUAGCAGACUUGGAGGCAGAUCCAGAAGCUUCAAAAGAUUCCACUAUGAAACUAGAAUCUAAGCGCGCAGAGGAAAGGAUGACGCUGAAGCACAAGAGUAAUUUGAAAUGGGUAAGCGGAUCGUUAAGCAUGGCUUGUCUGUUCAAGAUGAAGGCGCUCGAGAUGUCAUUACAGCGCAACUCCAGCAGGAUGCUCUUCUUACUCGAAAAGUGAAUUCCAUACAAGAUGAUUCUAGUAGUAGUAAGAGAAGGACGAUGACGACGACGAUGAUGUUCCUGAAAGCAAAUUAGAAGCAAAGCUUCUGUACAGAGGGAAAGAGAAGAUCCUUAAAGUGAUUGAAGAAGAUAAUGAGAUCCCAAAGUCUGGAGUUUUUUCAUUUCCUUUCAUGGAGCAUACUGUGAAAAAGCUUGUGGAUGCAACGUAUGGGGAAGCAUGGCUAGAUUAUGAAGAAUUGGUGGAAUCCUCGAGGAAAUUUGAGGAUGCCAACACUGAGGAGAAUGUAGAUCAAUGAAGUUUCGACAACUUGCCUGUUAUCACCUGUGCAUCUUCUCCGGCCUCCUGAUACAGCCAGAGUCACCGAGGUGCCCCGACGAAGGACAAAGUACCUACGACAGAGUCAUCGCCGGCUUAGCUCUGGCCGCCCUUGUGGUAGGGGGUUACUUCUCCUAGUGCAGUAAUACCAACUUGGGAGUGUGUCGUGUCUGCGACUACCUUAUCUGCAGCCCCUGCUAAUCAAUGGGGCAGACAAAGUAAGCUGAGAAGCUUUGGAGUACAAGCAGCACGGAACCGCCAUGGCGUUGUUGCCGGGCGUGCAUUCAGGGACCAUGGUGAAGAGACGGUGUUUUCUGGCAUUAGUUUGGUUCAGGAAGCAGCUUUGCUUAUGACGGCGCUCAUUCCUGCACGGUGUCUCUGGUGGUCGCUUUUUCUU